GCAGAUUUGGGGGUAGUUUUACUCAGGGACGGCAGGUUUAAGGGCAGUUUUACUUGUUGAGGGCAGGUUUUUUUUUUUUUUUUUACUUGGGGAGGGCAACUUUGGGAGUAGUUUUAAUGAGAGCAGGUUUGGGGCUGGUUUUACUUUGAGGGCAGAUUUGGGGGUAGUUUUACUCAGGGACGGCAGGUUUAAGGGCAGUUUUACUUGUUGAGGGCAGGUUUUGGGCUGUCUUUUACUUGGUGAGGAUAGAUUUGGGGCAGUUUUACUUGAUGAGGACAAGCUUUGGGCUAUUUUUUACUUGAUGGGGGUAGAUUUGGGGGCAGUUUUAUUCGUUGAGGGCAGGUUUAGGGGCAGUUUCACUUGUUGAGGGCAUUUUUUGGGCUUUUUUCACUUGGUGAGGGCAGGUUUGGGGGUAGUUUUACAAGAGGAUAUGAGGUUUUGGGCUAGUUUUCACCCAGGGUGGUAGAUUUGGGGACAGUUUUCCUUGUUGAGGGCAGGUUUAGGGGCAGUUUCACUUGUUGAGGGCAUUUUUUGGGCUUUUUUCACUUGGUGAGGGCAGGUUUGGGGGUAGUUUUACAAGAGGAUAUGAGGUUUUGGGCUACUUUUCACCCAGGGUGGUAGAUUUGGGGACAGUUUUCCUUGGUGAGGAAAGGUUUUGGGCUGUCUUUUGCCCGGGGCCGGUAGAUUUGGGGGUAAUUUUUCUCAUUGAGGGCAGGUUUGGGGGUAGUUUUUCUAGGUAAGUGUCAAUUAGGAGUGAAAUUUUGGCCCUUUUUUUUUUUUUUUUUAAUCCAGGGGAGGGCAGGUUUGAGGCAGUUUUACUUGGUAAGGGUAGAUUUGGGGGCAGUUUUACCCAGGGAGAGCAGGUUUAAGGGUACUUUUACUCGAAAAGGGCAGGUUUUGGGGUAGUUUUACUUGGUAAGGCUAGUUUAGGGGGCAGUUUUACCUGGGGAGGACAGGUUUUGGGCUGUUUUUUUUACCAGCUCCAUUAAGUUAUGUGAACUUGUU
ensembl:lncRNA